UUUACUCAGUUUGAAACUUUCUAAUUUCAUGAUCCUAUUUAAUUAAUUAUUUAUCUAUAGGAAAUCUUAGAAAAUUCAUAUCUUCUCCGUUUCAACUCCGAUUUUCGUGAUCUUUACGUCUGUGAGAUCGUAGCGAUGCGUAGAAUCGUUUUACAAACUUUUCAUACUGUUUUUAUAUGAAUGGUGUACUGUUCUAAUUGUAGUCUUGUUUGCUUCGUGUAUGUUUGUCUCCGAUUGUUUGUGAUCGAUGAUCGGAAUUAGUCGUUGAGCAAUUCGUGGUGAUCAAGAGUGCUUCAGUGAUCAAGAUCAGAGCCUUGGCAACUAGUAAGACUAGCAAGAUCAGCAAGAGCAUUUGGAUUAAGGCAAGUAUAGCAUUUGGAUUUUAUUUCUGUGACCAUGAUCCUGUGACUAGAUUAAUGUUAAGUAAAAAUGAUAAAAAUGACUUUAUAGCCACUUGACGAUUUAUCUGUAAGUGAUAACCGGGACAACAGUGCAACCAUGAGGGCUAUAAUGGCUCUGGCUUUAGUUAAGUAUGAGUAACUUUUCUAGCUCGUUAGCGGUUACCCGUUGUGGCGCAGUUGGGGAAUAGCAGACCGUGGAUUCCUGCGGGUGAAUCACACGGACUGACUAAUGAAACCAAGCGGCCCUAACUUGUUAGACGAACCUUUGAAAGACUUCAUAGUGAUCCCUGCCGACC
rnacentral:lncRNA from 1 species